UGUUGUAUUGAGGAUGGCUCCUGUACUCCUACUAAUCAGAUACCUUGCCGUCAGGGUCAAGGAAAUGGUCAGUUGGCGGAACUAGCGUGGAAAGUUCUCCGGAUAACGCAAUACUCCUGGCAGCUCCAGCGACUUCCGGAGCACUCGGGCGAUUAGUUCCACGCCCCCGGCCGCCCUCUCCGUCCUGGGCGCCCCCACUGGCGGUGCCUGCCGGUGUGGACGGGCUCCCAGCGGCCCCCGGACCGGGUCCUGCGACGCGGUUUCCGCAGACGUCCAUACUCCAGGAUAGAUUAACCGCACUAUCAAGGUACCAAGAGGAAGAAGAAAAGAGCGCUUACUGGCGCGUCGACCUCAACAUCAACUGGUUCAAUGACGUCAUACAGCGCAAGCUGCGGCAUCGGAUGCCGUUCCAGCAGCGCGACUGGAACAACCUGGUGUCCGCCAUCUUCAACCAAUACUUCUCGGCCACUUCCCAGCGGCCCGCGAACCCGAAGCGAUGGUAUCACGAGAUGAGUGCCCGAGUGAUGGAUGAGUAUCCUCAUCUGUUUGAGGGCAUGACAACGUUCCAAGGCCUGACGUUCGUGACGCAAAAACUCCGAUGCAAGUUCAAAAACGUGCGUUUUAAGAUCAACUCGUCGUGGAGGGCCCUCGGACUGCAGCGACACGCGCCAUCUAGCAACUCCACGCCAACUCAGCAGCUGGAGGGCACUGAAGCCGCGAACAUUCAGCUAGCUGUAGAAUCUGUCAAGUCGGAGGCGUGCCAGUCGGACGUCAGUGAACUCCUCAUCGUGCGAGGAGUGGAUUCAUCAGACAACUCGUCAGAAGUCAUCCAGUUUGACGACCAAUGAACUCUCGAAUGUGAACCAUCUGGCACCACUAUGAAUCUAAGUCACUCGCUAAGUUAGGCUUUAUGGUGAUGCAAUGACUUAUGUGAUCGCACCCCGCGUUAACGUGUUUCGGAAAAGACUGUAGAUCAGCUUCGCUUUGCUUUCCGUCAAACUACGUACCUAGUCAUGCGUAGAACGUGGGCGACUGUUGGACGUAUGCCAUCGGUGCCCCCAUGUAUUGUCUUGAGGGUCAUGUCUGUAGGAACUCCGCCGUGUUUAUGCAUGUUUGCGCUAUCAUGGCACUGACCUCUCAGUGCAGCUUGCUAAGGCAGAGCACGACCCUCGCGCACCACUUUGGCUGAUUGCUUAUUCGGAAUGCAUUGGCGCGCGUCUUGAAGACAGACAUAUCUCUUCAGCAUCUGGCCGCGCAGGCCUGAGUAAAUGUUUAGGCAUUGGUCAAGGGACUAACGCACUGCGUACGAAUCGUUUGGCCCUUUCUGACAAACAGCUUAGCUGAGUCAAAUGAGCAUCUGUUUAGUUUGUUAGAGAUGUGAGUUUUCGCAAAUGGUGUAAGCAACGGAUCAGGGGCGUUGUUUUGCAAACUAAGUUAGUGGCUGAUCAGUGAAAAAAAUGACCAGAACUUCUCCAAAAUAUGCCAGUAAUAUUGUUUCUUCCUAGAUUUA